AACCCCCAGUCCUUGAGAACAGGACCUUAUUAGGAAAUAAAUUGUGGUCGAUGUAAAUAUUUAAGAUGAGGUCACCCUGGGAUAGGGUGGGCCUUCAAUCCAACAUGACUGGUGUCCCUAUAAAAAGGGGAAAUUUGGACACAGACAUGCGAACAGGGAGAACGCCACAGCCACAUGGUGGCUGGAGUUAGGCUGCCACAAGCCUGGGAACCACCAGAAGCCAGGAGAGAGAGGCCUGGCAGAGAGGCUCCCCUAGUGCCACAGAGGGUCAACCCCUGGAUUGUGGACCUCUGGCCUCCAGAACCGUGAGACAAAGCAUCUCUGUUGUUGACGCUGCCUGAUUGGUGAUCCUUCCUCCUGGCAGCCCUAGGAAGGUGACACACCUGCUGUGGGACUUGGCCUGACGUCUCCUUGCCUGUGUGGCCUCCCUCCCUCUGCUCUCAGGGACGCUGGCUAACUCCUCCCAUUCACCCAAAUCCUUCUCAUGUAGGGUCGGCUUCUGGAGAAUCCCACUUAAGAUAGUGGGUUUUACGGAGUUUUUUGGAAAACUGGCCAGGAGCAGACAGAGAAAACGGAAACGAGCAAACGGGCCAAGGGUGGCCUGGACCCACCUAAAGAAAAACAGCCCCCACUCAGCUCCACCACAGGGGAGGUAGGCUCAUCCUCGCCUGACCAUUAAGUUUCUCAAGAGAAACCAGAAAUGAUUUCCAAAAAAAAAAAAGUGACAUCUGCUUUUUCAAUGUUAGCAAUGAACUCUGGCAUUUGCUUGCUGCUGCUUUUUGACCACUCAGCUGGGUUGAGCCGAUGGCACCAACUUCCUGAUCCCUCUGGACCGGGGCCAACACUGUGUCCAGACAUCGCUGCCCUUUCUCCUCAGCAGAGCGUUUCCCCUACCCUUGACCCACAGGAUGAAGAGCCAAACGUCUGCGUGCCUUGGAGCCCAGCGAGGUCCAGCCUGGCUGACCCCUCUCACUGCCCCCGGCCAGACUCUGGGCUCCGGAGUUCAGCUGUGUUAGUCCAAUCCAAGCCUCUGCCUUCUGGUCCACGGCGCCCGGGGGCCUGUCCGGGGAGGAGAGUGAUGCACGGUCCUCCGUUCUGGCUGCCAUUUGUCACAGGUACGUGCAGGUAGGAAACAGCCGAUGGCGCUGGAUGUGCAGCUCCUGUUCCCCAUUUAGGCGGGUGUCCCUUGGCAGGAGGAACGGCUCUGGCAUGAGGCUCAGGUCCUAUGUGCUACCAGGCCUGCAGGGGCUCCUUGAGUUCCCCUGCUGAUGACCACAGCCAGAGUCACCAGGGCCACUGCUUCCUGAGCCCCAAUUCUGAGAAGCCUUUCACACCUGUUUUCUCUAGUCCUUGCAUUAUCCCUGCCAGGUGAGGCGAGGUGUGGUCCCAUUUUACAGGUGAGGAGACUGAGCAGAGAGGUGAAGCUGCCUGCCCAAGGCCACACAGCCAGUGAGGAGGGGAGCCUCGUGCCCAGCCAGGGCGGCCUGAUGCCAGAGGUUGGCCUUCAAGGCCAGCCAGAGGCCAGUGGCUGCCUGAGCCCAGAGGUCCUUCCCUGGGGUGGUUCUGGCUUCAGGUCUGGAGGCCCCACUGCAGGGAUCAGAGAUGGGGCUGCUUCUCAAAGCUCUGCUCCCCCAGCCCCUCCUGGGCUAAGACAAGCGGAGGUGACUUGUGUCGGGAUCCAGUGGCACCAGCGUUGAGGGGAGAAGGCCAGUGUUUCCCAGGAGUCUCUGAUGCCAAGGAGACCCUUAUGCAAAGCAGAUUCCCAGGCCCGGCCCUGGAGUUUCGGGGCCCUGGAACCUGCAUUUAACCAGCAGCCCCAGGUGAAAUGCCUGCAGCUGCUUUCAAAGCCAAAGCCGAAUUCCCUGCCAGAUCCUCGGGCUCUCUGCCCACUCCCAGACUCUGCAGGCUGGCCCCUCAGCAGGCUGUCCAAGUGUGUGCGGAGGAAGGGCGGGUUCUCCUGGAGGCUCUGGUUCCGGCCCCAACAUCUGUAUCCUCAGCCUGUGCCCCCUGAGGACGGCUCAGGAGCACAUGACCUCCACCUGGUGGGAACGGAGGCUAUUCUUCGGGUACCCCAAGCUGAUGACUGCGAAUGACAGUUUGUCCCCACUCGGGGCUUCCAGGGGGGCUUU
rnacentral:lncRNA from 1 species